rnacentral:rRNA from 1 species
GAUGAACGCUGACAGAAUGCUUAACACAUGCAAGUCGAUGGGGAAGUGGUGCUUGCACCUUGGCAACCAUGGCGGACGGGUGAGUAACGCGUAAGGGACUUACCUGCAGGACUGGGAUAACAGGGGGAAACUCCUGACAAGACCGGAUAAUGUCAUGGAGCUGCAUGGCUUUAUGAUGAAAGGAGACGCCUGCGGAGAGCCUUGCGUCCUAUUAGCUAGUUGGUGAGGUAAUGGCUCACCAAGGCGAAGAUAGGUAGCCGGCCUGAGAGGGUGGACGGCCACAAGGGGACUGAGAUACGGCCCUUGCUCCUACGGGAGGCAGCAGUGGGGAAUAUUGGACAAUGGGGGCAACCCUGAUCCAGCAAUUCUGUGUGCACGAAGAAGGUUUUCGGAUUGUAAAGUGCUUUCAGCAGGGAAGAAGUAAGUGACGGUACCUGCAGAAGAAGCGACGGCUAAAUACGUG